rnacentral:tRNA from 1 species
UUAAGAUUAAAAUUAAGGCUGCUAACUUUGAUUUGGGAGAAUAUCUUCCAUCUUAAU